UAAAUUAUAAGGUGUCCACAGACAGCAGGUGCAUAUUUGCUUAAUUUCCUGCCGAGGAUUUAAUUUUAACACUGUUAUUAUUGGGUUUCUCGUGGUCUGUGCGUGAAACCCUUUUUGUAUAUU
rnacentral:sRNA from 1 species